ACCAAUUCCGGGGGAUGUUUUUGUUUCUCUUGGUAUAAUGGCUCGGACGCCAUAUCCAUUCAUGUGGUCAUCCUGAUUGAUGGUUUCUUCUCAAUACCAUUUGGUCUUGGAAACGCCACUAACAUUU